GUCCACGCCGUAAACGAUGAUCACUCGCUGUUGGCGAUACACAGUCAGCGGCUAAGCAAAAGCAUUAAGUGAUCCACCUGGGGAGUACGGCCGCAAGGCUGAAACUCAAAGGAAUUGACGGGGGCCCGCACAAGCGGAGGAACAUGUGGUUUAAUUCGAUGAUACGCGAGGAACCUUACCUUGGCUUAAAUGUAGAGUGCAUGAGGUAGAAAUACUUCUUCCCUUCGGGGCUCUUUACAAGGUGCUGCAUGGUUGUCGU
rnacentral:rRNA from 1 species